UACGUAGGGUGCGAGCGUUGUCCGGAAUUAUUGGGCGUAAAGAGCUCGUAGGCGGUUUGUUGCGUCGGCCGUGAAAACUCAGGGCUUAACUCUGAGCCUGCGGUCGAUACGGGCAGACUUGAGUUCGGUAAGGGAGACUGGAAUUCCUGGUGUAGCGGUGAAAUGCGCAGAUAUCAGGAGGAACACCGGUGGCGAAGGCGGGUCUCUGGGCCGAUACUGACGCUGAGGAGCGAAAGCGUGGGGAGCGAACAGG
rnacentral:rRNA from 1 species